rnacentral:rRNA from 1 species
UACUGGUGCGCGAGAUGAGUAUUCUAAGGCGCUUGAGAGAACUCAGGAGAAGGAACUCGGCAAAUUGACACCGUAACUUCGGAAGAAGGUGUGCCUUACUAGUGUGAAGUGAACAACGGAGCAUGAAUGGGUUGCAAAAAAUCGGUGGCUGCGACUGUUUAUUAAAUACACAGCACUCUGCAAACACGAAAGUGGACGUAUUGGGUGUGACGCCUGCCCGGUGCUGGAAGAUUAAAUGAUGGGGUGCAAGCUCUUGAUUGAAGUCCCAGUAAACGGCGGCCGUAACAAUAACGGUCCUAAGGUAGCGAAAUUCCUUGUCGGGUAAGUUCCGACCUGCACGAAUGGCGUAACGAUGGCCACACUGUCUCCUCCUGAGACUCAGCGAAGUUGAAAUGUUUGUGAUGAUGCAAUCUCCCCGCGGAAAGACGGAAAGACCCCAUGAACCUUUACUGUAGCUUUGUAUUGGACUUUGAACAGAUCUGUGUAGGAUAGGUGGGAGGCUUUGAAGCGGUGCCGCUAGGUAUCGUGGAGCCAACGUUGAAAUACCACCCUGGUGUGUUUGAGGUUCUAACCUAGGUCCAUUAUCUGGAUCGGGGACAGUGCAUGGUAGGCAGUUUGACUGGGGCGGUCUCCUCCCAAAGCGUAACGGAGGAGUUCGAAGGUACGCUAGUUACGGUCGGACAUCGUGACGAUAGUGCAAUGGCAUAAGCGUGCUUAACUGCGAGACUGACAAGUCGAGCAGAUGCGAAAGCAGGACAUAGUGAUCCGGUGGUUCUGUAUGGAAGGGCCAUCGCUCAACGGAUAAAAGGUACUCUGGGGAUAACAGGCUGAUACCGCCCAAGAGUUCAUAUCGACGGCGGUGUUUGGCACCUCGAUGUCGGCUCAUCUCAUCCUGGGGCUGUAGCCGGUCCCAAGGGUAUGGCUGUUCGCCAUUUAAAGAGGUACGUGAGCUGGGUUUAAAACGUCGUGAGACAGUUUGGUCCCUAUCUUCCGUGGGCGCUGCAGAUUUGAGGAAGCCUGCUCCUAGUACGAGAGGACCGGAGUGGACACACCUCUGGUGUAUCGGUUGUCACGCCAGUGGCAUUGCCGAGUAGCUAAGUGUGGAAGAGAUAAACGCUGAAAGCAUCUAAGCGUGAAACUCGUUUCAAGAUGAGAUCUGCCGGGGCCUUGAGCCCCCUGAAGAGUCGUUCUAGACCAGGACGUUGAUAGGUCAGGUGUGGAAGCGCAGUAAUGCGUUAAGCUAACUGAUACUAAUUGCUCGUGCGGCUUGACCCU